rnacentral:rRNA from 1 species
UGGGGAAUAUUGGGCAAUGGGCGAAAGCCUGACCCAGCAACGCCGCGUGAAGGAAGAAGGUCUUCGGAUUGUAAACUUCUUUUAUAAGGGACGAAGGACGUGACGGUACCUUAUGAAUAAGCCACGGCUAACUACGUGCCAGCAGCCGCGGUAAUACGUAGGUGGCAAGCGUUGUCCGGAAUUACUGGGUGUAAAGGGAGUGUAGGCGGGAUUUUAAGUCAGAAGUGAAAAUUACGGGCUCAACUCGUAACCUGCUUUUGAAACUGAAAUUCUUGAGUGAAGUAGAGGCAAGCGGAAUUCCUAGUGUAGCGGUGAAAUGCGUAGAUAUUAGGAGGAACACCAGUGGCGAAGGCGGCUUGCUGGGCUUUUACUGACGCUGAGGCUCGAAAGCGUGGGGAGCAAACAGGAUUAGAUACCCUGGUAGU